rnacentral:rRNA from 1 species
CCUACGGGAGGCAGCAGUGAGGAAUAUUGGUCAAUGGACGAGAGUCUGAACCAGCCACGUAGCGUGAAGGAUGACUGCCCUAUGGGUGGUAAACUUCUUUUAUAAAGGAAUAAAACGCGGCACGUGUGCCUUUUUGCAUGUACUUUAUGAAUAAGGAUCGGCUAACUCCGUGCCAGCAGCCGCGGUAAUCCGGAGGUUCCGAGCGUUAUCCGGAUUUAUUGGGUUUAAAGGGAGCGUAGAUGGGUUGUUAAGUCAGUUGUGAAAGUUUGCGGCUCAACCGUAAAAUUGCAAUUGAUACUGGCAGUCUUGAGUACAGUUGAGGUAGGCGGAAUUCGUGGUGUAGCGGUGAAAUGCUUAGAUAUCACGAAGAACCCCGAUUGCGAAGGCAGCUUACUAAACUGUGACUGACAUUGAUGCUCGAAAGUGUGGGUAUCAAACAGGAUUAGAUACCCUUGUAGUC